UACGGAGGAUGCAAGCGUUAUCCGGAAUGAUUGGGCGUAAAGCGUCCGCAGGUGGCUGUGUAAGUCUGCUGUUAAAGAGUGAGGCUCAACCUCAUAAAAGCAGUGGAAACUACACGGCUAGAGUGCGUUCGGGGCAGAGGGAAUUCCUGGUGUAGCGGUGAAAUGCGUAGAUAUCAGGAAGAACACCGGUGGCGAAAGCGAUCUGCUAGGCCGCAACUGACACUGAGGGACGAAAGCUAGGGGAGCGAAUGGG
rnacentral:rRNA from 1 species